UCCAUGUUUAAAUAAUUAAUUGGGCUGGAUAUUGUCGAAAUGGACUUGCCACAUAUUAACCAUCUUCAAGUCCAAAUCUUCAUGUGGACUAGAACCUUCUCCUUGGGCUUGAGUUAAUAAAGUUUGGACAGCUUCUUGAAGUUUCUUGGCUCGAGCUCUUGUGAUUGGCCCAAUUGGAAUCUCCACAUCAUCUUGAGCAUCUUCUUUGUCCUUGUCAAAGUCCUUGAGCUGGAUCAUAUCAUUGGAAAACCCCUCCAAGCAUGGAAAACACAAAGCAUUAAUUAACUACCUUGGAACAUCCCUCCAAGCAUGGAAAACACAAAG
rnacentral:lncRNA from 1 species